rnacentral:rRNA from 1 species
UGAACGCUAGCGGCAGGCUUAACACAUGCAAGUCGAACGGUAACAGGAUUGAUUUAUCAAUUGCUGACGAGUGGCGCACGGGUGCGUAACACGUAUGCAACCUACCCUUUACAGGAGAAUAGCCCCGAGAAAUCGGGAUUAAUACUUCAUGGUAUCAUAAGAUCGCAUGGUCUAAUGAUUAAAGUUUCGGCGGUAAAGGAUGGGCAUGCGGUCUAUUAGUUUGUUGGUAAGGUAACGGCUUACCAAGACUUCGAUAGAUAGGGGGUCUGAGAGGAUGAUCCCCCACACUGGUACUGAGACACGGACCAGACUCCUACGGGAGGCAGCAGUGAGGAAUAUUGGUCAAUGGAGGAAACUCUGAACCAGCCAUGCCGCGUGCAGGAAGACGGCCCUACGGGUUGUAAACUGCUUUUAUUUGGGAAGAAACCCUGAUACGUGUAUCAGGCUGACGGUACCAAACGAAUAAGCACCGGCUAACUCC